GUCACUAUUGCCCCAGGAAUACACAGUUUGCCACACAGUAUUGUUGUCCCUGUGGAACCUAUAGUGAAGCUUUAAAUAUCUGGGAUGCUUCCAAGUGCCAGCUGUGUUCUCCUGGAAGGGUCUCUUCCAAGCCGGGUUUAGCAAGACUGGAUGGACUGUGCAUGCCUGGAUGGUUUUGUCCGCCUGGAUCCACAUCAAGCAAACCAGUGUUUCCUGGAAAUUACACUGCAGGCACAACAGCUUCAGCUUCUGGGUCUGUUGGGUUGUGCCAAGGACCUUUUGUCCUGCUAGUUCAUUUCUUCCUCUGCCCUGCACUCCAGGUUUGUCCUGUGCAACUGCAGAGCUCGCAGCUCUGUCAGGUCCUUGCGAGGCUGGCUUCUACUGCACAGGGAGCUCCACGCUCCCAAACCCCAUGGAUGGAGCAGUGGGGAACAUUUGUCCUCGAGGCCACUUUUGUCCUGCAGGGAGUUCUUCUCCAUCUCCAUGUCCCCCAGGUUCUGUGCCCCAGAAGACCACCCAGCUGAUCUCCAAGAGAACUUCUCACAAGGUGUGGUCAAGCCAAUAGAAUGUCCAGCAGGAUAUUACUGCCCAUCGGGAACAAGAGCUGCCAAUCAGUACCCGUGCCCAGAGGGCACCUACAGUAACCAAACUGGAGUGGGAAAUCCCAGGGAGUGCAAGCCUUGUCCUGGAAGCACGUUUUGUGCCAGUGCAGGACUCUCGUCCCCAAGCGGUCCUUGUUUGCCUGGGUAUUACUGCACUUCGAAGGCCCGUAUACCCAAUCCUGUCAAUGAUGAGACAGGCAGCCUUUGCCCAGCAGGCCGUCACUGCCCACCUGGCAGCAGCAAGCCAGAGCUAUGUCCCACUGGCACGUUCUUACCUCGGUCUGGGAUGGUUUACCGUAAUGCCUGUCUGCCCUGCCCUGGGGGGAAGUUCUGCCAAGGAGAAGGCCUGGCCAUGGUUUCUGGAACAUGUUACGCCGGAUAUUUCUGUGAUCUUGGAUCCACACAACCAGAUCAUAAGCAUUGCCCCCCCUGGCUUCUACUGUCCCGAAGGCUCUGAAUCCCCGAUCCCAUGCAGCCCUGGAAGCUUCAACUCCGAGAGUGGAAAAUGGCAGUCGACAGACUGUCAGCUCUGCCCAGCUGGAUACUUCUGCACUGGUGAGUCUCUGAUGAUGUGUUUGGCAACUGGGGGGUUGCACAAUGCAAGUUAAGAUACCCACUACAGCUUUAUUUCUUACAAGCUUGUCCUUAGCAGAUACAGGAAGAACAAACUCAAAGUGCCACACAUCCCUUUUGGUCAGCGACAGUUUCUGCAGGAUGUGCAGUAAAUAUAAAUGCUGCAAAUCAUUUGUCUUCCCCAACUCCUGUUGGGUUAUCAGUAGCAGUCUCAGGUCACCCAUAACAAUUAUUGCUAUUACACCUUUUUUCUUCCUUGACUCAGCCACCUCUUCUAGAUGCCUCAUAUGUCUUCCACCUCUCAGGGAAACAAAAUAUCCUGGCAAACAAGUGCUUGGCACUGGCUAGCAGCCAGGGUCUCCGCUCCUAGACAGCUGCUCCUUCUCGGAGGUUCUCACCAUCUGUCUGUACAAGAUGUUUAUUUGCUUCCCCCAGCACUGAAAUAUUUGCGGUCACACUGACAGUAACAGAGUGACCCAUCACCUUCCAUGAUACAAAGAGGGUUUUUCUUUCUCAGGGGAGGAACUGAAGCAACAGGGAGGAAAUGACUGAGCUCACAUGAGUCUGUACCAGAGCUGGGACCGCAUCAGAGAGCCUCAGAAACACAGUUGAGCAUUUUAUUUGGAAGGUAAGGGUUUCUAUUGCCUUUGAUCUAGCAAAGGAAAAGGAAAGGCUUUCUUUUGUUGUUGUGGAGCUGGGCAAAACCAAUUCUGAAGUACCAUGUUCUUCAAGCUACCACUGCCCACCUGGCCAGGCUGCCGU
rnacentral:lncRNA from 1 species